CUUGGCGAAUGACUCCUCCCUGGAAGAGAAAGAACAUAUGGUGAAAUAUAUUACCUUUUUUUCUUUCUAUUUUUUUGGCAAUUGGGAUACAUUAUUUUAGAUGUAGUUAGUUCUUUCUGAAAUUAAAUUCAAGAAAAUAAGACAGGAGGAGAAGUAGGACAAACAAAAGAGCAAUAGUCUAAUAUUAGGAAAGCAAAGACAAAAAAAAAUUGUCUUUGCAAACCUUUAUCAAUAAAAUCUGUGACAUUCAAGUUGUAUCAUAUAAUAACAAUACUGUUAUUCAAUUGUGGUUUUUAGGAUUCAAAAUUUAUGAUCAAUGACUUAGACUUUUGAUUUCUUGUUCAUAAUUGAUCAGCAUCCCUUCUUGUAUGACAUGAGUUCAAGCUUUUAAACAUGAUAAAAUCUUAAUGAAUAGUUUUAUCCUCCAGUGCUGUUAAGCACUAGGUUUUGAAAUGGUUCCAAGAUAUUGCAUUAUUGCCUAACUACCAACUGUUAAUUCUAACUCAAGAACAGAACCUAAUUAUGAUCUUUAUUAUGUACAAUGGAUGUAAAUUGUGGCCCAAAUGAAGGAAGGAACUGUCCAGAGAAUCUUCAGAAUCAUAUUUUUCAGUUAGUGGGAUAAUCAUAGCUUAUGAUCUGGGGAACUCUUCUACAUGACAAAUAAUUGAAAUAUUGUCACAGAAUCAUGUUAAAAUAAUAACAAGGCACUAGAGAGAAAAAGAAAAAACAAGCAGAACAGUUCCCAUCAGCCGCAUCUAGAAAGCCUGAAUCACCUUGGAAAAACUAUAUCAUAACAAUUUGAGCACUGAUGUACUCUCUUGAUCAACCUAGAGUUUUGGUUAUAAAUUCCAGUUUUCCAGCGUAUCACAAGUCAAUAUUAAGAAUAAAGGGUCAAUUUUAGAUUAUUAACACAUCAAGUGAUGAACAUUUCAACAGUUUCAAUAAAAGGAAAAAGUAAGAGAAACUUA
rnacentral:misc_RNA from 1 species